UUACGUUAAGUAGCAAGGUUAUGCGCUUAAGGUGUGGCGACGUAGCGAAAGCGAGUUUUAACUGAGCUUUCAGUUACUUGACGUAGACCCGAAACCGAGCGACCUACCCAUGAGAAGGAUGAAUCGAAAGUAAAAUUGCGUGGAGGACAGAACCCACGAGCGUUGAAAAGCUCGGGGAUGGAUUGUGGAUAGCGGUGAAAUUCCAAUCGAGCCCGGAUAUAGCUAGUUCUCCCCGAAAUAGCUUUAGGGCUAGCCUCAAGGUGAG
rnacentral:rRNA from 1 species